AAUGAAGGAGUGCAACGUGUCAGUCGGCUUGGGAGUUUCUGGAGCGGCAGCAAACGCAGCAAAUCAUCCCUCUCCAACGUGUGGGCCACCAAAUUCUCUUAAACCCGUGUACAGUAGAAGUAAAUCGUUGAUGAUAGAGGAUUAAAUAGAAAAUGAAGGCUAGAAGACUGCUGUUGUAAAUACUCAUCUUGGUAAAUCAAAUUCGUGCAUCUUUGGAUGAGAGAAAAAGCAGAAGCUACAUUUGAAGCCACCUCGGAGUCAUACCAGACUAAUGAAAUAUGAUUACAGAAGAAGAUAGCUUAUGGAGACCAGCAGGUGGCAUGGUGGUUAAGGUGCUGGACACUCCCAUAUGGC